GACGAACGCUGGCGGCGUGCUUAACACAUGCAAGUCGAACGGAAAGGCCCUGCUUUUGUGGGGUGCUCGAGUGGCGAACGGGUGAGUAACACGUGAGUAACCUGCCCUUGACUUUGGGAUAACUUCAGGAAACUGGGGCUAAUACCGGAUAGGAGCUCCUGCUGCAUGGUGGGGGUUGGAAAGUUUCGGCGGUUGGGGAUGGACUCGCGGCUUAUCAGCUUGUUGGUGGGGUAGUGGCUUACCAAGGGUUUGACGGGUAGCCGGCCUGAGAGGGUGACCGGCCACAUUGGGACUGAGAUACGGCCCAGACUCCUACGGGAGGCAGCAGUGGGGAAUAUUGCACAAUGGGCGGAAGCCUGAUGCAGCAACGCCGCGUGCGGGAUGACGGCCUUCGGGUUGUAAACCGCUUUCGCCUGUGACGAAGCGUGAGUGACGGUAAUGGGUAAAGAAGCACCGGCUAACUACGCG
rnacentral:rRNA from 1 species